rnacentral:rRNA from 1 species
GAUGAACGCUGGCGGCGUGCCUAAUACAUGCAAGUCGAGCGAACAGACGAGGAGCUUGCUCCUCUGACGUUAGCGGCGGACGGGUGAGUAACACGUGGAUAACCUACCUAUAAGACUGGGAUAACUUCGGGAAACCGGAGCUAAUACCGGAUAAUAUAUUGAACCGCAUGGUUCAAUAGUGAAAGACGGUUUUGCUGUCACUUAUAGAUGGAUCCGCGCCGCAUUAGCUAGUUGGUAAGGUAACGGCUUACCAAGGCAACGAUGCGUAGCCGACCUGAGAGGGUGAUCGGCCACACUGGAACGGAGACACGGUCCAGACUCCGACGGGAGGCAGCAGUAGGGAAUCUUCCGCAAUGGGCGAAAGCCUGACGGAGCAACGCCGCGUGAGUGAUGAAGGUCUUCGGAUCGUAAAACUCUGUUAUUAGGGAAGAACAAAUGUGUAAGUAACUAUGCACGUCUUGACGGUACCUAAUCAGAAAGCCACGGCUAACUACGUG